GAGGAGAGUUUUAUUGUUGUUGCUCUCUCUCUCUCUAGUUUUUGAACGUGAUAGUGGUGGUGAUCGCGGCUCGAGUUUGAGUGAUUUUGACGUCGAUCAGGAAGGCUAUUCGAGCGUGCGAGCAUCGCGGUUGCAUCAUUGGGAGGCCGGGCGAGCGCGUGGUUUUCUCUCCUUUCGACUUCUCGCCGUAGUUGGAUUAGCGUGUCGAGGUGGGUUGAAGUUUACCGAAAUUG
rnacentral:lncRNA from 1 species